CAAUGACAGACAUAACGUCUUCUUCGGGCGGGAUGAGGCUGGAUGUCCCACCAGAUGACAACUUUGGCAAAUGCAUUACUCUGGUGCAUUUGACGAGGACCAGGCAAAUUUCAUCGGUGAAUGCAUCCAGAAAGAGGUGCCGGUCCCUCUGGAUUUGUCCUUGGCGAUGGAAUACCGCAUCAUGGUGCUCCUCCCAGAAGCGCUGGCUGCCAUUAACCACAUAAUGAAAGGCACAGCCACGAUGGAGGAGGCCAGGGAUUAUAUCUGGAAGGCGGGGUGUCGGGAAGACCUUUAAAGACCAAUUAUGUUAAAACACAACGUUAACAGUUCCUG